rnacentral:rRNA from 1 species
AGUGAACGCUGGCGGUAGGCCUAACACAUGCAAGUCGAACGGCAGCACAGUAAGAGCUUGCUCUUACGGGUGGCGAGUGGCGGACGGGUGAGGAAUACAUCGGAAUCUACUUUUUCGUGGGGGAUAACGUAGGGAAACUUACGCUAAUACCGCAUACGACCUACGGGUGAAAGCAGGGGAUCUUCGGACCUUGCGCGAUUGAAUGAGCCGAUGUCGGAUUAGCUAGUUGGCGGGGUAAAGGCCCACCAAGGCGACGAUCCGUAGCUGGUCUGAGAGGAUGAUCAGGCAGACUGGAACUGAGACACGGUCCAGACUCCUACGGGAGGCAGCAGUGGGGAAUAUUGGACAAAGGGCGCAAGCCUGAUCCAGCCAUACCGCGUGGGUGAAGAAGACCUUCGGGUUGUGAAGCCCUUUUGUUGGGAAAGAAAAGCAGCAGGUUAAUACCCCGCUGUUCUGACGGUACCCAAAGUAUAAGCACCGGCUAACUUCGUG